rnacentral:rRNA from 1 species
UACGUAGGGGGCUAGCGCUGUCCGGAUUUAUUGGGCGUAAAGAGCGUGUAGGCGGCCAGGUAGGUCUGCUGUGAAAACUCGAGGCUCAACCUCGAGACGUCGGCGGAAACCAUCUGGCUAGAGUCCGGAAGAGGAGAGUGGAAUUCCUGGUGUAGCGGUGAAAUGCGCAGAUAUCAGGAAGAACACCCGUGGCUAAGGCGGCUCUCUAGUACGGUACUGACGCUGAGACGCGAAAGCGUGGGGAGCGAACAGG